AUGGCAGAGUUUUGGUACAAUUCCUCUUACCACACAUCACUUGGCAACACUCCUUUUAAGGCUUUAUAUGGCAUUGAUCCUAAAUUUGGUACUAUGCCGAUUGACACUGGAGAAUUACCUUCUUCCCUGGCAGAGCUAGCAGCAAAUCGUGAAGAUUUUUUGGCUCUGUUACGUGACCAUCUCCUGCGUGCUCAGCAGAGAAUCAAGUCACGGGCUGAUAAGCAUCGUAUGGAUAGGGAAUUUGCUGUUGGUGAGGAAGUUCUGCUCAAGCUCCAGCCAUAUGCACAAUCUUCGCUGGUCAACCGCCCCUGCCACUAG
rnacentral:rRNA from 1 species